AGUGAACGCUGGCGGUAGGCCUAACACAUGCAAGUCGAACGGCAGCACAGUAAGAGCUUGCUCUUACGGGUGGCGAGUGGCGGACGGGUGAGGAAUACAUCGGAAUCUACUUUUUCGUGGGGGAUAACGUAGGGAAACUUACGCUAAUACCGCAUACGACCUACGGGUGAAAGCAGGGGAUCUUCGGACCUUGCGCGAUUGAAUGAGCCGAUGUCGGAUUAGCUAGUUGGCGGGGUAAAGGCCCACCAAGGCGACGAUCCGUAGCUGGUCUGAGAGGAGGGUCGGCCACACUGGAACUGAGACACGGUCCAGACUCCUACGGGAGGCAGCAGUGGGGAAUAUUGGACAAUGGGCGCAAGCCUGAUCCAGCCAUACCGAGUGGGUGAAGAAGGCCUUCGGGUUGUAAAGCCCUUUUGUUGGGAAAGAAAAGCAGCAGGUUAAUACCCCGCUGUUCUGACGGUACCCAAAGAAUAAGCACCGGCUAACUUCGUG
rnacentral:rRNA from 1 species